UACGAAGGACCCGAGCGUUAUCCGGAUUUAUUGGGUUUAAAGGGUGCGUAGGCGGAUUUACAAGUCAGUGGUGAAAUCUCCCAGCUCAACUGGGAAACUGCCAUUGAAACUGUUUAUCUUGAGUACAUUUGAGGCGGGCGGAAUGUGUCAUGUAGAGGUGAAAUUCUUAGAUAUGACAUAGAACACCCAUUGCGAAGGCAGCUAACUACACGAUCAUUGACACUGAGGCACGAAAGCGUGGGGAGCAAACAGG
rnacentral:rRNA from 1 species